rnacentral:rRNA from 1 species
AGUGGGAUAAGCUCAAAUUUGUAAUCUGGCAGUCCUUGGCUGUCCGAGUUGUAAUCUAGAGAAGUGCUUACCUGUGCUGGACCAUGUACAAGUCUCCUGGAAUGGAGCAUCACAGAGGGUGAGAAUCCCGUCUUUGACAUGGACUACCGGUGCUCCUAGGUGUGCUCUCAAAGAGUCGAGUUGUUUGGGAAUGCAGCUCAAAAUGGGUGGUAAAUGCCAUCUAAAGCUAAAUAUUGGCGAGAGACCGAUAGCGAACAAGUACCGUGAGGGAAAGAUGAAAAGAACUUUGGAAAGAGAGUUAAACAGUACGUGAAAUUGCUGAAAGGGAAACGCUUGAAGUCAGUCGCAUUAGGUGGAAAUCAACCUUGCUUUUGCUUGGUGUACUUUCCUUCUGAUGGGUCAGCAUCAAUUUUGGUUGCUGGAUAAGGUUCUUGGGAAUGUGGCAUCCUUGGAUGUGUUAUAGCCCUUGGACGCAUACAGCAGCUGAGAUUGAGGAACUCAGCAUGCCGCAAGGCUGGGCUUUUGUCCACACUACGUGCUUAGGAUGCUGGCAUAAUGGCUUUAAUCGACCCGUCUUGAAACACGGACCAAGGAGUCUAACAUACCUGCGAGUGUUUGGGUGGAAAACCCAUGCGCGUAAUGAAAGUGAUGGUUGAGAUCCCUGUCG